rnacentral:rRNA from 1 species
ACGGGAGGCAGCAGUGAGGAAUAUUGGUCAAUGGGCGAGAGCCUGAACCAGCCAUGUCGCGUGGAGGAAUAAGGAUCUAUGGUUCGUAAACUCCUUUUGCGGGGGGAUAAAGUGCGGGACGUGUCCCGCUUUGCAGGUACCCCGCGAAUAAGCAUCGGCUAACUCCGUGCCAGCAGCCGCGGUAAUACGGAGGAUGCAAGCGUUAUCCGGAUUUAUUGGGUUUAAAGGGUGCGUAGGCUGUGGACCAAGUCAGUGGUGAAAGCCCGGGGCUCAACUCCGGAACUGCCAUUGAUACUGGCCCGCUGGAAUACGGAUGCCGUGGGAGGAAUGAGUAGUGUAGCGGUGAAAUGCAUAGAUAUUACUCAGAACACCGAUUGCGAAGGCAUCUCACGAAUCCGUCAUUGACGCUGAGGCACGAAAGCGUGGGGAUCAAACAGGAUUAGAUACCCUGGUA